rnacentral:rRNA from 1 species
GACGAACGCUGGCGGCGUGCUUAACACAUGUAAGUCGAACGGAAAGGCCCUGCUGUUGUGGGGUGCUCGAGUGGCGAACGGGUGAGUAACACGUGAGUAACCUGCCCUUGACUUUGGGAUAACUUCAGGAAACUGGGGCUAAUACCGGAUAGGAGCCCCUGCUGCAUGGUGGGGGUUGGAAAGUUUCGGCGGUUGGGGUUGGACUCGCGGCUUAUCAGCUUGUUGGUGGGGUAGUGGCUUACCAAGGCUUUGACGGGUAGCCGGCCUGAGAGGGUGACCGGCCACAUUGGGACUGAGAUACGGCCCAGACUCCUACGGGAGGCAGCAGUGGGGAAUAUUGCACAAUGGGCGGAAGCCUGAUGCAGCAACGCCGCGUGCGGGAUGACGGCCUUCGGGUUGUAAACCGCUUUCGCCUGUGACGAAGCGUGAGUGACGGUAAUGGGUAAAGAAGCACCGGCUAACUACGUG